CUGCCGGGUUUCCUCUCGCUUAGCCAAUCAAAGACAGCCCCGGCUGGCGGUUUCCUUCUUGAAUUCUCGGCCGGGUGCAGGCCGCAGACGCCGGGCUCGCGAUGCUGCCGGAGUGCGGGCUGUGGCCGGGGCUGAUGGAGCUGGGGCCGAGCGGCCUGGGGGACUUGGCGUCCGUCUUGUUACUCGGGCUCCCGCAGGGCCGUCCCCUGUGGGUCCCUCGUGCCUGAGGUCCCAAGGGCAACGCCGACGAAACGCCUGGCCGCAGGCGCCUGUAGCCAGCUGUUUUUCUUUUCUUUUCUUUUUUUUUUUUUUGAGGCGGAGUUUCGCUCUUGUUACCCAGGCUGGAGCGCAAUGGCGCGAUCUCGGCUCACCGCAACCUCCGCCUCCUGGGUUCAGGCAAUUCUCCUGCCUCAGCCUCCUGAGUAGCUGGGAUUACAGGCACGCGCCACCAUGCCCAGCUAAUUUUUUGUAUUUUUAGUAGAGACGGGGUUUCACCAUGUUGACCAGGAUGGUCUCGAUCUCUUGACCUCGUGAUCCACCCGCCUCGGCCUCCCAAAGUGCUGGGAUUACAGGCGUGAGCCACCGCGCCCGGCCCAGCCAGCUGUUUUUCGUUGGCCGCGUUUUCACCGAUUUCCAGCUGCUGGAGCCUGAUGUGGAGGAAAGGCCCAAGACCACAUACUGUUUCCUGGACAGGAGAAGCGCGUGCCGCCUCCGCCCUCUCCUCGCAGGGCGGGCAGCGCUGGCAACCGGGUGGUGCCUCACUUCAGCCGCUUCGCGUGCUCAGCCUUUCACACACCACCCGUCUCCCUGCUCCUUUCCAAAAUAAAAAUGAAAUUAGGUUCGAUUAACGAGGAAAUGACGUCCCAAUUAAACCACCUUGUGUUUCACCUGGAACGCACGACGUCCGACCUGCGCUGUGGAGUCUUUGUUUUAUCCGGGAGUUCGGGACUAACGGAAGUGUUACUCCUCAAGUACGUGGCUGCGGACUCCAGUCCUUUAAACGUUUGAGUUGCAGGAGGCAAACACAGCAGGUCCCCAGUGAAACCUAACCUUCAAGCUGAAGCCAGUUUAAAGCCUAGCUACAAGUCCCAGGUAAAUCCAUGGACUGGAUCGAGAACCUGUCUUCCUGCUUGGCAUGCUUCCCUGUGAUUGAUUGCCAUCCUUCACCUAUGUUACAUAUACCUACCCUUCCCUAAUUGGUUUUUAACCCUGUUGUGCCCACUUUUGAGUGAUGCCUUUGUUUUAGACAUUUUUGCAUAUUCACAAACCAGCGCGCACUUCCCAUUUGGAGCCCAUAAAAGCCCUGAACCCAGCCACAUGGAAAGAGAAACCACCUGACUUCAGGUGUUGGACCACCCUCACGUCCAUGCUCCACUGCCUUCUCACUCAAUAAAAUUCUUCACCAUCCUCCUCACCCUUCAAUUGUCAAUGUAUCCUCAUUCUUCUUGGACAUGGGACAAGAGCUCGGAACCCGUUAAAUGUGAGUACAGAGAAGGCUGUAACACCAUGAUCCUUUGCCCUUCACCAGUGGAGAGCAGCCACCCCACGUGAUGGAAGCAGUGGCAGGGCUGAGCAAGCCUUGGAGCCAUGUGCCAAUGAAGAGCAAGGGGCUGGCAGAGCUGUUGACACACCAUUGUCCAUCACGCUAUGGACUAAAAGAGCUAAUUAGCACGCUGUAAUACCUCCUUUGGGGCUUCAGGAUCACGAGCACCUCUACCUGGGCAUCACCAUGUUUCCCUCGUCUGAACACCAGAGUCCACCAUGGGAGUGGCUUGCAACAUGCCUGGUCCAGCCACAAGCCCCACAUGGAACCUGGUUCUACGCUGGCACUUGGAACAGUUGGCUGGACCCGGCACUCUCUUGCUCACACGCCCCCUCCCACUGGGGGCUGAGCAUGCAGUCACAGCAGCCGCGGGAUCCACACUGGAUUGUCCUAGUGGGCCGAGUGGAUGGGGCAUCUCCUGUGGCAAACCUAGGCCUGAACAAGGCCUGGGCAAGGGUGUCACCAGCCUGGCAGCUCUGGCUGACAGGUGACCAAGAAAAGUCUGCGUCACCAUCGUGGUCUGAACUAGUUUUUCAGGUUCUUUGAAAUCCCCUUGGCUGAGGGUGGGGGUGGUGGGUCCCAUUCAGCUGGUUGUGGGAGCUUAGACUUUUCUUUUCAUUUACAUACUUGAAGUUGUCCAAUUGUCAGACUCUCUGACACCAACUGGGUAUCCUACCCCACUUACACUCUCACCCACAGGCUGAGGGCUGCGUUCCACAAGACUGUCCCCUCUCCAGGUGACGGCCACAUGUGGGGUGCCCAGGCCACCCACACAGCAGGUGAUACUUUGGGGCUCCCAUGAACCCUUCCUCGGGUUCAGUAAUUUUUUAGAACAACUCACAGAGCUCAGGAAAACACUUAUGCUUCCCAGCUUAUUAUGAAGGACACAGCUCAGGAACAGCCAAUGGGAGCACAUUGUGCACGAUGGGGUGAGGAGCUCCCAAGCCCUCUCCAUGUGGCAACUGCCCAGAACCUCAGGGCAUCCACCAAUCUGGAGGCUCUCCCAAAUCUCAUUAUUCACAGAUUUUUAUAUCUCAAUCCUCAGCCCCCUCUCCUCCCCAGAGGUGGAGGUGGAGUGGGAGAGGGGCUGAGAAUUCCUGCCAUCUAAUCUCCGGGUCUUUCUGAUGAUGUCCACCCGGAGUCACCUUGUUAGCAUAAACUCAGGUGUGGUGGAAGGGGGCUCCUUACAAGUAACAGAAGACACUGCCACACUCAGGAAAUCCCAAGGGUUUCAGACACUCAGUGACCAGAACCAGGGGCCGUGACCAAAUAUACUUCUUCUUGUGGCGUAGUGUUCAACAGCUGUCACGUUCUGUGUCUCUUGGUUUAAACUUCCAAAAUCUUAGGCUCUAAAGUCUAGCUCAGCAUGGGUCGGCUGCACAUCUGGACUAAUCAGAUAUGCCAGUGAUGAGCUGUGGGGCACGCCUGGAACAUGUGGUUUCCUCGUGUGGAUGGACCAGGAGCGCCCAGGGAAGAAGAGCCCAGCAGAUGGAUGGUGCCGGGUGUCUCCUGCAUGGUCACCGUGUGGGAGGGCCUGACCUCUGGCUCAGGGACACACUGUCAUAGCCAACUCACACCACAUGCUGCAGGGGCUCUGUCCACAUCCCAGGGCCCUUCUUAUCUCCACUGAUGGGCCACAGGGCUCUGCUACUUAAAGGUAACCCCCUCAAGGUCAAGGGGGUGACUCUGCCCAAGUGGCAGGACACAGCACUUCCUCUCGCCUGGCCAGAUCGGUUUUCUGAGCUGGAGUUGUCCUUGUCGUUAUUUUGAUCCACACGUCUCUUAGGAGGUAGUUAACACUUGCCAAUCCUGCUGAAAAACUUAAUUCUUGAAUGAAUGAAACGUACCUCACAUCAGGUGAGAAUAUUUUACACAUAGUUGACUGUUUUGUUGAUUUCUUUUUUGAGAGAGUCUUGCCCUGUCACCCAGGCUGUAGUACGGCAUCAUUAUUGCAGCUCACUGCAGCCUCAACCUCCCGGGCUCAACUGAUCCUCCCAUUUCAGCCUCCUGAGUAGCUGGGACUGCAGUCAUAUGCCACCAUGCCCAGCUAAUUUUUAAAGUGUUUUGCAGA